ACCAACUUGCUGUCUGUUAUACUUAAUGUCCUCAAACUGGAACAUUCUACCUUCAUUUUUUCCUUCUCUCUCUCUCUCUCAGUGCAUUCUAUCAGGACCAGGUGUGUUCAGCAAGCAGACGUGUUCAAGUAGAAGCUGCACUGCACCUUGUAAACUGCAAAGUGGCUUAUGGUAACUGGAACUUCUAGAUUCAGUGUUCUGUAUACAAAUGAAAAAUCUUGGAUAAUUAAGACUGAAGUCACUGAGAAUUUCAGUAUGCUGACUUUAAAGGUUCUAAGGAAACUCAGCACUUGAAACUGAAUGCAAGACUCCACUGUUAUCCAGUGCACUCACUGAUACCAGCCCCAGAAGAGAUUCCUGAGAAUGCCUAGAAAACCUGACCUUCCUCUCCUGACAGCACAUCAAUCAAGGCAGAGGACACUGGAAUGUGUUGCUGAGUUUAGCGUGCGCCCAGCAUGACAUCUCCAGACUCCAAGCAACACCCGAGCCUGGACUCCCUCCUAAGUCUACUGCAAGCUGUUGCUUAUCAGCUCGUACAGUAUAUUGAAAGCAGAUGGACAAGGAGAGCUGGCUGAGCAAAUUCUGGUGCUUCAGAAAAACUGCAAGCAGACUGUUGUCUAGAGGGCAAGCCUGCAGUCUACCUCACAAGUUCUGAAAACAGCCGUACCCCAGGGUGCAAUUGUAGAUAUUUUCAGUGCUUUUCAGUGCUCUUUGAAAAUACAGAGCAGCUGUGAAACAUUUGUUUUCAGUCUAUAAUUUAGACAGUUGAAGCAGAGUCACCAAAACCUCUCAGAAGUCUGCUUUAAAAGGACAGUAACCAUCUUAUCUUAAAAGAGGUUCAAGUUUCAACAACAUGCAAUAGAUCCAGAUGAAUAUUUAUUUAUGAGUUUGAUUCUACCUGCCCUUUUUCUCAUCCAUGAGUGGCUGAGGUCUGAGCAUCAUUUUAUUUCUAGAUUACAGCAGGAUGCUUGUCCCUGUGCACUCAUGGACGUAACAGCUGAGGUCCAGGCUAAAGGUACAAGAAUAUUAUGUGUGAUUGCCCUAAGCACUGGUUUCCACCUACUCUUGUAAGAAAAUUCUAGAAAAAGCUACCAGCAGUAAUGAGACCUUGGUGACCUUGAGAAAGUCACUUUACCUCUGUAUCAUGUGGCCCUAAAGUGUAAAAUAGGGCCAAUACUUGCUCCAAACCAUGCUAGCAGUUGAGUAGAGCCUGCAGUGUGGUUUAAUGUCACUGGGGAUUUGACACAGUAGAAAUGUUAUUGAAACACCAUGACAGUCUAACAGUGUUUCCAUUAAACAUCCCAUCCUUCACAGAGGAAGUUUAUGCUUUGGUGCAAGACAAACAAGGAAAAGAAUUUCAAAUGAGGCCUUUGUAGUAGGGCAUAUUCCUGCAUCUGGCCGUUCUGUUCCCAAGAGAGACAUUUCAACAGCCAGAAAUAAUGAAUAUGCUUAUGUACCUUCAGGUGCUUGGGAACAGCACAGAGAAAAGCAGGAGAAACAGGUACUUGUCUUCCUUAAGGAGAGUGUUGUAACAUCCGAACCUGAGAGCUGUGACCUUCUAGAAUGCAGAACUGCUCUGGUGUUCUGAAGCCUCUCACAGCACACAGCAGUACUUGCACAGAGCGCUGCAGAAAUGGCUUAACAGAGGAGGAAACUGGGGUCACUGUGCUCCAUGUCCUCACUUCAGUGUGCUGCUGUUAAAGGCACAGAUGCCAUGCCAUUUAUUACAGUGUAGAAACUGGUCUUAAAUGCUACAGCAAAAGGCACAGGCCAGAAAUAUUUAUCUUGAGGAAAAAUAUCCUCCACCCUCAUUAUCUACCCUUACACCAACAUCUGCUCACAGAGCUCCGUUUACAGCAUUCGUACACCACCCUGAUAUCCCUCUGAGUUUGUGUUAACAGAGCAGCAAGGGCAACUACAGUUGCUGAUAGCAAAGGAGCGAACAUCUACAGCCUGAGGUGCAUCAGACAAUAACAGAAACAACUCGAAUUUGCACAGAAGGGGUAAGAAAAAGUGGGAUUUGUAUCAUUUUUUGAUACUUUCAAAAAAUCAUAAUAAGAGGACUGUAGCUUUAAAUUGCAACUUUGUUUUAACUUCUGCUGUGCAUCCAGGGGACAGGUAAUUUUCCGUCACACCGUAUAUAGAGCUGCUGAAAAUACGCUGCUUUUUUCUGUAGUAUAAUUUUAUUGCUGGCCUCCUGCCAAGAGCCUUUCUGGCAGCAUCUUCCACAGUUGGAAACUGUGUAUCUGGGUCAGAAAAGACAAGUUGCUUUUCAGAACAGCUCAAUACAUUUGGCAGAGAUGCUGAUAUUAUAAUUGAACUCUUUCAGCAACUCUUUUUGUGAUGUACGCAGACAUCAAACAAAACAAGAUCUGCAAAGUUGAUUAGUGUCAGAAUAACUGACAGCGAAACAGCGAAAUAGUUUUCUCUCAUGUUAAAAGUAUCAACAAACCAAGAGAUAUAGAGAAAAAUGCAAUUCAAAAGGAUGCUGUGAGGAGCAUGGGGCAGAGAAACCUGCAGAGUAUGAUCAACCUUUGUGCACGUUUGCUGUUUUAAAUGCAAACUCCCUGUGUGCUGUACAGAACUGGUUUACUCAUUCUGCAUCACCAAAAAAGAGAAACUGCUGCCCAGUGCAACCAUAAAAACAAUCCGUAAAGAAAUGCAGCCAUAACACUGGGAUAUGUAUUUACUAAGACUCAGGUUGCUUGCAACAAUAUUCUCAGCAACCAUCCAGUUUCACCUGUACAUCCACACAAGUUUUAUUGUUUUCAAAGUUCCUGGCAGAGUUGCAUCUGGCUUAGCCUUUAGAAGUCUGCAAUUUUCCAGCCAGACAGAAAAUUGUAAAGCAACACCACACUGAGAGCUGGAAAGGUUCUUCCUCUGACAUUCUUACCCUACAUACAAUAAAUACUGACCUAGUAUCACUCCUGCUUGUUCUUAAGUUCUUAAGUUUGACAAGAAGCUCCUGUGCUCAGAUUUCUUCUGAGUUGAUAGGCCCAGCACCCCACUUUUAUGGUUGCCAGAGACAGGUUAGGCACUCAUUUGAUAAACAGAAUAGAGGAAUCAUCCAAGUCAUUCUUCUGGGAGCCUGGGAGAACUUUUGGCUCUUAAAUAACAAACUGACAUAGGAACACAAAGUACAAUCAACUUAAUUAACAUUCAGCCUGUCGGUAACAUCCAGAACAGAACUGUCCAUAAAACAGCACUAUAAGAAUAUAUAUACAUAUAUAAAUAACAAAGGGAGAACUUCUUGGCACAGCCUCAAAAAAACAAUACAAAAAAAACCACGGUUACAUACUACAUAAAUAAAUAAAAGCAAAGUAUUCAUCUUCAAACUAGCCAGAAACCAUGACUACACUCUCCAUGUCUGAAAUGUUCAACUGAUUUCCAGCUUCCAGCACCAAACACAGGCAUUCCUGCUCUUCUCGCUAAACUGGACACUGGAAACCUGGAGCUACUUUGCAGUACAGACCUGCUGGUGAAGCAGUCAUAAUUUGAUACCAACAUUCAAAAAAAAAUCACAAUAAAUUUCAAAACAGACUGCGUUCGUUUACAGUUGAAGAAUUAACUAAAUUAAUAAAAAGGAUCACAUUACUGAAAAGACUCCAUCUGUACUGUCAGUUUUCCCAGAGACAUGCACUACUUCAGCAAAUGCCUGGAUCUAGGUCUGAAGUAACAUCCAGCUCUCCAAAACAGAACCACAUGUUCUGUCCCCUCAAGUACACAGCGCAGUUUGGCACCAUGCUGGGCUUCCUGCUGCCUAAGCCAUGCCACGCUCUCUGGUCUCAGUACCACAGUUCUGUAGACCUUCAAACUUUUGGACAUUUUCCAUCCCCAUAUCAUUUCUGUCCACAUCCUUACCUUUGUGUUUUUCUUUGCUCCAGAACCACAGUGGGAAGCAGUCACAGUGAAGGAGAGGAUAAGAACUGGGACAUUCUUUCCCCAGCAUCCCUCAACUUAACUCAAAAAGCUGCAGUGCCCCAGUUUCCUUCCUGCUAUGAUUCAUAUCCCAUUGACUGCAUGUUAGCCUAAGCUACAGAUUUUUUUCCUCUCAAAACAAAACCAGCUCAAUACCAUAGGAAACACCUAUGCAGUUUGGAUUCCUAGAGGACAGUCUCUGCAGGUACCAUUUAGCACACAGGCUUAUUGCAAUGAAGUAUCACCAGACACUUCCUGGGCACUCCAAAAGGUCAGUCUUACGUGACCACUCACCAACACAGAAGAAGAUGUUUUUAAAAUUCUCAUGUAAAAGAGGAAGGCCUUUUUCCUUCAAGGUAUCAGGAUCAGCAUCUCCCCUAGAAUUCCUUCCUUGAUGUCCCCAGUGGCAACGCAUGAAGAACCUGGCAUUUUCAACACUGCAAAUUCACUCUGGAUGGCACGCACAUCAGCCACUUUAAACAUUCAUGACUCUCCACUUAAGUGCAUUUUGUGAUAUGUCAGUCUUGCUGCCUCACUGACUUUUUUUUUUUUAAGAGAGAAGAUUCACAAGGAUCUGGAAGACUAUCAGUGUCCGCAGGUGCUGUGCAAAGAGCUCUUCUGUUCUCUGCCAGUACACAUCCACCAUCAGACUUGACCACGUUCGAGUUCCACUCUGAUGACCAAACAAGAUUUUGUCUUCAGUUUCUGUAUCAUUCGUAUUUCCCAAGUUGAGAACUGAAUUCCUUAACUGCUUAUUUAUAACAGGAUGGCAAAGUUUUACGUACCAAAAUAUCUGUAGCAUCAUAUUCUAAUUUCUUUAGAAAACACAGUUAAGUAAUUGAUCUUGAACUUGAGAAGCUGUAUUAAAAUUCAAAUAAAUAAGUAUAUUAUCUGGGGAAAAACAAACAAACCCCAAGGAGCUGUCAGAAUAAUCCAACAGCCUCACCUGGCUGUGAUUUUAAGGACACAAACACAACUUUGUUGCUUUGGUUCAUUUCCCUUAAAUUUCAUGAAUUGCCACAGAUCUGUUUAAUCUCUCUUUACAGCUAAUGAUACCAUCUCUACUGUGCCAAUUUACUCAGAACAGCAUAAAAUAUACCAAUGGUUCUUCAAUCUUUGUCAUUCACUGUUUUCUCUCCAUCAUGUAAUUACCAUCUCAGUUUGCUCUCUCAACAUAAAGCAAUACAUGUCUAAACAACAAAACAGAAGGCUAUGAUGAACACCAGUGCCUUGGAGGCAACCUGCUUGCACAAGCCAAAGGCACCAGCAUUUCAGUAAACGUGUGAAAGUAAGAUGUCAUCCAGGUUAGGAAGCAGAAGUGCAUGACAGCAAGCUGUUGCAACUCCAGUGUAAAAGAAGGCGUGUACCCAUUUUCCCUCAAAGCAAGCAAAUAAACCAUGGAAUCAGCAGCAGCAUUCAGAAUGCUCUUGGCUUUGCAGGGAGAUUGAUUUACAGCAACCACCACCACCUCACUUUCUGCCCAAAGCUCCUCCAUACACUGCAGUUGCUAGAAGUAACACUUGAAAUUGCUGUCAGGGAAGGACUGGAGAAAAGCCGAGUUUGUUUAUUUGGGGCCAUUAACUGUAUUUUACAUCUAGAUGUUUCAAUUUCCCCUGAUCACAGGAAAUCUGCUAUUCCUGAAAGAAACAGUGAAGGGAUUUCUGUUUUUAUUUUUUUUUAAAGAAGGCACGCUGGGAAAGCUACAGUAAAUCAGGCUAGGAGCGCACAGUUCAAAAUGCAGGGCACAGGAUCAAAACCAGAACAAACAACAUCCACUUUAUAAACUAACAGCAUCACUGCUAAGCUGGGAAGCAGUACGUGUAACCUUUCAUCUCUCAGUCAGAAUUUCUGAUGCAGCUACAUCACGUGACAGUCUUACUGGCUUUCUUACCUGCUUAACCAUCAGUGUAAAUCUGUGCCAUGUCACAACAUCAUCAUUAUUAAAGGAUAUGGCAAAGAGAACAAGAACCAGAGAAAAGCAAACACUGAACUCUAGUCUUAAGAGCGCCAAAAAACUCCUUAGUCUUUACAGUCAAAAACCAUAUUUUAGUGUUAAAAGAAUUUCAGGUUCUCACGUUGUCGAAAUGGCUUCUUCCACCUAUGCAGAAGCCUCAAUGACAGAGCAGCGAGUGCCUGGAAUGCAGUGGACAAACACUACCAGACAGUUCUGUGCUUUACUGAGACAAAAUCUGAGAGUUAAAUUUAGACUGAUGACUUCUGCAGGCACUCAGAUGUUUCUGCUUUAAGUUUUCUAGAAAUUGCAAAUGAGAACUUGGCAGAGUUUAAAUUGACCCAGCAUGUUUCUUCUGGAAUCAAAAUCAUAUUCUGUCCUAUUACUCUGCAAAACUGUUAAGAAAAAAAAACCCAUGCUUUUCAACACAUGGCUUCAGACAACUGACAGAGACAUUCCAUUUAUUUUUGUGCUGAGAAAAAAAACCACAGGUACCAUUUUUUUCUUCUUCAAAAGUCACUACGAAAAUUAAUAGAGGAAUCAAAGUUAGCUCCAUGGCAGCAUAAGCACAGUUUGCUGAACAACACUACUUACGUAACUGCAUUAAUUCAAAUAUGGCUACGGUAAUUUCUUUCCAUUUACCAUGGGAAAAUACAUUGCACUUGGAGACUCUGAUCUCAUUCUUAAAUACUAGACACUUAGCAGAGCAUGCAGGUGUCACCAAGCUGUUCUGUGGUGCAGCUGGUAAUCCUUGCAAACAUUUGCAAUCUUUGAAUGGCAGCAGAGACACUGUGUUGUUUUCUGUUUGUUUGUUUUGCAAUACCAUGAACAGCUGAUAGAAUGAAAAAGCUCAGAGGUUACACACUGAAGAAAUAUAGGUCGUUACUUCUCCAUCUGCUGGACCAGAACCAUCCUUCAAAGGCCAACUUGGCAAAAAGUCACAGUAAAUGCUUGACAACAAUUACCUCUAGACUCGUGAGAUUCAAAUUAGCAAUUCUGUAUCUGAGUAUGGUGUGAUUAAACUCAAGAAUUUAAUUCAGAA